rnacentral:rRNA from 1 species
CCUACGGGGGGCAGCAGUGGGGAGUAUUGCACAAUGGGCGCAAGCCUGAUGCAGCCAUGCCGCGUGUGUGAAGAAGGCCUUCGGGUUGUAGAGCACUUUCAGCGGGGAGGAAGGCGGAGAGGUUAAUAACCUCAUCGAUUGACGUUACCCGCAGAAGAAGCACCGGCUAACUCCGUGCCAGCAGCCGCGGUAAUACGGAGGGUGCAAGCGUUAAUCGGAAUUACUGGGCGUAAAGCGCACGCAGGCGGUCUGUCCAGUCGGAUGUGAGAUCCCCGGGCUCAACCUGGGAACUGCAUUCGAAACUGGCAGGCUAGGGUCUUGUAGAGGGGGGUAGAAUUCCAGGUGUAGCGGUGAAAUGCGUAGAGAUCUGGAGGAAUACCGGUGGCGAAGGCGGCCCCCUGGACAAAGACUGACGCUCAGGUGCGAAAGCGUGGGGAGCAAACAGGAUUAGAUACCCCAGUAGUC